rnacentral:rRNA from 1 species
AUUGAACGCUGGCGGCAUGCUUUACACAUGCAAGUCGAACGGUAACAGGCCUUCGGGUGCUGACGAGUGGCGAACGGGUGAGUAAUGCAUCGGAACGUGCCCAGAGGUGGGGGAUAACGCAGCGAAAGCUGUGCUAAUACCGCAUGUGAUCUGAGGAUGAAAGCGGGGGACCAGGCAGCAAUGUUUGGCCUCGCGCCUUUGGAGCGGCCGAUGUCAGAUUAGGUAGUUGGUGGGGUAAAGGCCUACCAAGCCGACGAUCUGCAGCUGGUCUGAGAGGACGACCAGCCACACUGGGACUGAGACACGGCCCAGACUCCUACGGGAGGCAGCAGUGGGGAAUUUUGGACAAUGGGCGCAAGCCUGAUCCAGCAAUGCCGCGUGCGGGAAGAAGGCCUUCGGGUUGUAAACCGCUUUUGUACGGAACGAAAAGGCUCUGGCUAAUACCUGGGGCUGAUGACGGUACCGUAAGAAUAAGCACCGGCUAACUACGUG